UGGUCUCCUAGGCAACCAGUCUGAGAUGGAAUGUAUUUGUCAAGGGGAGGGAGAGGAAGGAGAUGAACACACGACUGAUGAGACUGCAGGCCACUCCUUCAUCUGGUGAGCGUAGGCAGGGAACCACUUCCAAAAGGUGAAACCCAAGUGCAUUCUAGACUCUUCACGGAUUUUAGCACCAAGGGCUUUAGGAGACAAAAACUAAGUCCAGAAGAGAAACUAAAUGAUGAAGAGAAACAUGGAGGGUUACCGUGGAAACCAAGGAAACAGCCAAGGAAAGAGACAAAUUGUAUAUGAAAUGCAUGACUGCUCCACCUCAACCUGCUUCCCACACUUGAAAACUCGGUUGCCAGUUAACAGGGAUGCUUUGGGAAGUGAAGAACCUUUAGGUGGAAGUAGGACUUAGCUGGAGGAAGUGGAGCACCAGAGGGUGCGUGUUAUGGGUAAGAGGCUGGCUCUGUUUCCAGCCAGCACUCUUUCCUGACUAGGAAAGAUGUAACCAGCCUUCUCCAACCCCAACCACCAGCUCUCUCUGCUCUACUCUUUCAGCCCAUGAGCCACAAUAAAUCCUCCCUUGAGUGUUCUGUCAGGAGUAA